UUUUAACUGGUAGGUGUUGCUUGGAAAGUUAAAUUUCCUAGUCUAAAACUUUCAAGUGACAAGCCUAAUAGAAAUUUCAAAGUCCCUAUUUCCUAGAAAACAUACCACCAUAUAAAAGGGGAAUAUAAUUAGUUUUUAAAAAAUGCAGGCAAAUUUGGUCAUGGAUAUUGAGACAAGGAAAUAAAGGAAAUGUGACAAGUCAAGGUAAAAGAAUGUUUUCCAAUUAAAAAAAAAAGCGAUUUAUAUUCUAGGUCUAUGAAAAUCCCUUUCAAAAUAGUGCAGAGGCCAGAAAAUAUACAAUUAUUUCUCUACCCAAAGAAUGGUGGAUGAUUGGAAUAACUGAGUAAUCAGUCCAAAAAAGCAAACACACCCGUAUUUGUGCUUUGUUCCCAUAAGCCAUUUCACUUUGCUACAGCCUAAGGGCUAUUAACCUGGAGUCUGAAGUUUUGCAGUACCCUGAAUCCUGUUUUCCAUGAACAGCUAACAUUUGCAUAUACUGAACAAAAUGACGUUUCAACAACAGAACAUAUGAUCUUGAGAUCUUCUCGUGAGGGGUCGAUAAUGAACAGAAUUAACGGCAGUGUUGGAUGUCAUCGAGCAAUUUUCGCAAAAGGCGGGGCGCAUCCUAAACUCCACGAGUUGCAUUGUAAUCAAGCCACUCUUGUAAUGAAUGCAGGCCCUUAAUUUAUUGAAACUAAUUUUGAAAUCAUGGUGCCACACAUACCAUCCGCUGUAGAAAUAAUUUAUAAACAUUAAUUGCAGGAAAGAGAGGAGCCGUUUGCUUCAAAGAGCCCAUCAGCAAGCUGUCCUUCCUGUUUUAUCAGUAAGCAAAGCUGAGAGCAAAUAACAGAUGGAACUGUCCCUUGGUGGCGGCACAGAGCACUCAUGAAAUAUAGCACAAUCUUCCUCCAGUGUGUUAUGUUUUUAACAGCGGAAGAUCAGAAGCAGGCGAGGUGUGGGCUAGGAUGAAUGACUGCUUCUGAUGAAACAUCCUUUUCUUCUAGGAAGAUUCCGGUAGCAGAUUGGGCUUUGGCGGGUGAUCUCGGUGGCUUGAUACAGUGUCAUUACAGAAUGCAUCUGGAAGAUUCUGCGGAAAGAGACAAGCCUCGGAAGACCAAGGUCAUGCUGAUACAAAACCAUCCUAGAAUCUGGCUGCACACACAUUUCAUGCCAGGUAUUAUCUAUAUGUGAAAAGAAUACAAAGAAGGCAUAAAAUUCUGUAUAGUAAAAAUACAUAUAGCCAACAUGCCCUGGGAAAGGGAGAUAACUGGAGCUUUGGAGUAUUGUUAAACACUGAUUCUGAGCUACCUAAUUCAUGGAGACUGAGACUAUCACUGUGGUCUACUGAUCAGAAUGACAAAUUGUACUUCAGGUUUAUACAUAGAGUUUCGAUCCGAGUCUCCCUCUAGGUGUUCCAGUCUUGGGGUUAUUUUUCUGAGGAUAUAAGUGGAAUAAGUCUCAUAAGCAAUUGGCUGAGUCCCCCACUGGGUCCCUGUACCAUGAAUAGAGCUAGCAAGAUUGAAAUUGCCAAGCUUCUGGACUUGACCUUACCUACUCAAGUACUAAAAUUCAAAGUAAUAUUGAAUCCAUAGGUGAAUCACAAAAGUUAAAAGACAUCAUCAAAGCAUGAAUGAUGUCCGGGUGAGGAUUCUUUUCAUGUCUCCAUUUAGGCCUAUGUAAAAGACACAGAGGUACAUUGAGUGGUUAUAAAUUGUACCCAGUUAUCCAUUUAAUAAACAUGUAUUCAGUACCAACCAAGUUUCAUACUUUGCUGGAUGUUGGGUACAAUGGAGAAGACUGGCAUUGAUCAAGAUAAUUCUAUGAGCUCAUGUUGUCUGGCAUUUGUGUGUAAGUGCGUGCAGGGAAGGUUUGAAGGAAACAGCAGGAGAGAUAAGGAAAGUCUUCCUUCAGCAAGUGACACUUCACAUGAGCUCUGAGGCAGAGGUAGGUAUUAGCUUAAUCAAAGGGGAAGGGCCAAAACACCACCCACCACGGGACAGAAGAGUGUAUCUAAAGAACUGAAUGAAAGACCCUCUACCUGGAGUGGCGAUGGCCUGGGCCAAAGUGGCCAGAGAGGAGGCUGAAGUAAUAGACAAGGGCUAAACUGGUUGGAUUUGCCAGUCUUAAGAGCAAUGCGAAAUCAAACACAUGUAUUUUUUUUUUAACUUUUGUUUUUGUUUUUUAGAGAAAGAGAGUGCAAGCAAAUGGGGGAGAGUGCCAGAGGGAGAAAGAGACAGAAUCUUAAGCAGGCUCCAUACUCAGCACAAAGCUCAAAAUGGGGCUCGAUACCAUGACCUGGGAUCAUGAGCUGAGCCAAAAUCAAGAGUCAGAUGUUCAAUUGCCUGAGCCACCCACGCGCCCCAAGUGCAUAGUUUUAGGUAAAGAAAUGUCAUGUUCAGAUAUUUAAAAGACUUCUCUGACUGCACUGUGGGUUUAAUCAGAGAGUAACAAAAUAUAGUAUUGAUCUAUUACAGCAAUCCAAGGGAGGGUUUGUUGUAUGGACAUAGAAAUAGGUAAAUUUAUGAGAUAUCUAGGAAGUGAUAUUAAUAGGAUUGGUGAUGGCCUAUUGAUAAUGAUUUGAAAAUUGGGCACAUGGAAGUAGAAAAUGUAAAGCAGUAUUCUCAUAUUUCUGGCUUGUAGAGCAGAAGAUUAUUUAUCUAUCCAUCUAUCAUCUUUCUAUCUAAAAUUUCUGGCUUGUAUAGUAUAUGUAUAUAUAUGUGUGUAUAUAUUGUAAAUAUACAUAUAUACACAAUCUGAAGUAUCUGGAGUGAGUCUGAUUCUUGGCUCAUUUGCUUUGAGGGGUGGGGAAUAAACUUGGGGCAAUGAUCAUAAGUUCAUUCUUGGACCUGUAGAGAUGGAGAAGCCUGACACAUUUAUGUGAAGAUGUUAAGUGAAAACAGACACGGGGGUGAGGAAUGAGAACCGGUUUGGUGAUGAAAUGCAUAAUAAAUACAGGGGUCGCUGGUCCAUGAAUUGGAAAUGAAGCCAGAGCUGUGGGGAAAUCACAGAGAGAGAAGAGAAGAGCCUGAGACCAUGCACUGAAGGACUCAGCAGCUAAGCUUGCCCAGGACCUGUGCACAUGACCUGUUCCAGAAAGACAGCAAUCUCCCUUUCUUCAAAAACCCUGCUAGAUUCGUUGUCUUUGGCUGGAGUGAGUUAUUUCAUCCAAUUGGUGCCAACAGAAUGAACUUUAAGCUGCAUAUAGAUAAUGGUUGUAUAUUUUCAUAUUUGGCAGAUUCUGUGGAGAUUGCCUUCCAAAUUCCAAGAUUUAUCUCCAGAAUUGUGGCUUGGCAGGAAGACUAAUGUACAGUCUUCAUGUGUAGGUUGUUUGAUUUGGGGUGGAUUUCAAUACUGUAGGUGUAGAGGCAACCUGAAAUUUUAUAAAAUAGCUUUCUUCAAGUGCAAAGUUUUAUGCCUUUUUCUCUUCAACUAUAAAGGGGGAAAAUGGUAAAGACCGAGCUGUUAAGUUCUUUGAUCCAUAUAUCCCUGCAAAGUUUUUUCCUCCCGGAUUUGGUUUUGUAUAUGAUUUAUUUUAUGUAUCUAUCCCUCCCACCAAGGCAGAGGGUGCCUGUUUUGAUGUUUAAUUAAGUUGUGAUAAUAUUUUAAUUUAAUUACAUAUUAUGCAUUAUAAUUAUUUGUGAAAACUUUUGUGGGUACAAGAAAAGCUGUAGAAGAAAAAAAAGCAGAUCUAAGGAAAACUGUUUUAAGAUGUUGCAUUUCUUGACAAAGAGCUGUGUCAAUUUAAUGGAACACUUAGGUCUCAAUGCAUUUACAUAUAAAAUUUUGCGUCAUUAAAUGGCAGACUAUGGGGCAAAUUUGGAAAUAUUUAGAAAAUAUAUAUAUAUUUUUCCUUAUAUUUAGGAAAAAUUCACAUGUAUGUUAACCCCUGAGACGGUGUUACUGAUUAUGUUAUAAUGAACUCAUUAUUUGCUUUGUCCUAGGCUUAGACUAAAUGUCUUUGUUUAUUUGACGUGAUCGUAGGUAUUCUUGAGUCCGGCCAUAUCUUCAUAUUGACCGUUGAAAUGAUAAUUUUGAGAAGAGUUAGAAAGAGUGAGGAACAUUUUUAUUCUACUCUAUUUUUUCCUAGAAUGUUUCAACCUGCCAUGAAUCUCUUGAAGGUGAAGAUUCUUCUUCUCUUAUCAACAGAUACUUGAUAACAUUUGGUCUGUUUCAUGUUUGGAAAGAUGUGGGUCUUAGACCUAAAGUUCCUGGUUUGGUAAGUGCUGUGUGCUGAGGGGGAAAUAAAAAACAACAGCAAAAAAGAAAGUCAACAAGGCUGGUGAGACAGAAUCACAGGAAAGGGUCUCAAAUUCUUAUCCUAUUUGACCUGUUACUGUACGGCUGCCAAAUACUUAAAAUACAAUAAAUUCAGAGAGUACAUUCUGA